rnacentral:rRNA from 1 species
UACGGAGGGAGCUAGCGUUAUUCGGAAUUACUGGGCGUAAAGCGCACGUAGGCGGCUUUGUAAGUUAGAGGUGAAAGCCUGGAGCUCAACUCCAGAAUUGCCUUUAAGACUGCAUCGCUUGAAUCCAGGAGAGGUGAGUGGAAUUCCUAGUGUAGAGGUGGAAUUCGUAGAUAUUAGGAAGAACACCAGUGGCGAAGGCGGCUCACUGGUCCGGUACUGACGCUGAGGUGCGAAAGCGUGGGGAGCAAACAGG